GGGCCUGUAGCUCAGUCGGUUAGAGCAGGGGACUCAUAAUCCCUUGGUCGGGGGUUCGAGUCCCUCCGGGCCUA
rnacentral:tRNA from 1 species